GCCUACGGGUGGCCGGGCGGGAUGUAACCGGCUGCUGAGCUGGCAGUUCUGUGUCGCUAGGCUUCUGCCCGGCCGCCGCCGCACAUAAGCUGCGAGGAGGAGCUUUACGACUUCCCGGUCUUCGGGGCCGGGCGCAGCAAGGGCCAGACUCUGCGCUAGCAGGCGCUGCGCGCCAACCGGCCGGCACCUGUCGCAGAAGGUGCAACCGAUCGCACUGUCGCGCAGAAGCUCCUCAAUGGCCAGCGCCAGCUGCAGCCCCGGCCGCCCACUCGCCUCAUCUGAGCCUGGGUACGUGCGCCCCACAACGCCUCCCCCAGCCAGGGCCCGGGGAUCCCCGGGAGCGUCCCCGGCUACCUGGCGCCGCUCAUCCUGGGUAGGGUCGGCCCCCUCUGAGGCUGCCUGGCAUGAGGGAGCUGCACCCCUGAGCUUGACCUCUGACGGCCCUUUGUAAUAGCAUUAAGUCUUUGAAACUUUGUAGCGGGGUAGAAGGGGCUAGGAAAUGAAGAAAACAUCUUUUUAAAAAUAUAAGCAGUCGGCUGGGCGAGGUGGCCCACGCCUGUAAUCCCAGCACUUUGGGAGGUCGAGGCAGGUGGAUCACGAGGACAGGAGUUCAAAACCAGCCUGGCCAGCAUGGUUUCACUGAAACCCCGUCUCUACUAAAAACACAAAAAUUAGUCGGGCGUGGUGGCUGGUGCCUGUAAUCCCAGCUACCCGGGAGGCUGAGGCAGAGAAUUGUUUGAACCCGGGAUGCGGAGGUUGCAGUGAGCGGAGAUCGCGCCACUGCACUCCAGCCUGGGCAACAGACCAAGACUCCGUCUAAACAAACAAAUAUAUGUGUGUAUAUAUAUGCGAUCGAGCCCGGGAGGUUGAGAUUACAGUGAGCUGAGAUUAUAUAAGCGAUCGAGCACUGGAGGUUGAUGUUACAGUGAGCUGAGAUUGCGCCAUUGCACUCCAGCCUGUGUAACAGAGGGAGACUCUGUCUCUAAAAAAUUAUAUGCAAGUGAGAGCUUUUCUUCCAGCGCUCAUGCUCAGACUGAAGAAAGUAAUUGGGCCAGGCCCGGUGGCUCACGCCCGUAAUCCCAGCAUUUUGGGAGGCGGAGGCGGAAGCGGGUGGAUCACUUGAGCUCAGGAAUUCCAGACUAGUUUGGGCAACAUGGUGGAAGCCUGUCUCUACAAAAAUACAAAAAAUUAGCUGGGCAUGGUGGCACGCACUUGUAGUCUCCGCUACUUGCCGGGCUUAGGCGGGAGAAUCGCUCAGCUGCAGCCUCGACCUCCAGGGGCAAUCCAUUUCAGCCUCCCAAAGUGCUGAGAUUACAGGAAUGAGCCAUCGUGCCUGGCUUUACACUAUAUUUUAAUACUUUUUUUGAAAAUGGAAACUUUUACAGGCAAUUCACUUCCUUCAAACUAAUGAUAAGGAAGUGAUGCUGUUCUGUUCUGUUUUGUUUUUUGUUUUUGUGGGUUUUUUUUCUUUUUUGAGAUGGGGUCUUGCCCAGGUUGGAGUGAGUUGGUGCAAACAAGGCUCACUGCAGCCUUGACCUUCGGGCUCAAGGAAUCCUUCCCUGUCAGCCUCCCCGGUAGCUAGGACUACAGGUGCAUGCUACCACGCUUGGCUAAUUCUUUUUUUGAAAUGGAGUCUCACUCUGUCUCCCAGGCUGGAGUGCAGUGGUGCAAUCUCGGCUCACUGCAGGCUGGUCUCAACCUCUGACUUCGGCUGGUCCACCCACUUCUGCAUCCCAAAGUGCUGGGAUUACAAGUGUGACCCACCGCGCCUGGCGAUUUUGCUCAUUUUAGAUACUAGAACUUUUUAAUUUAAAUUUUUUUUUUCCUGAGAUGGAGUCUUACUUUGUCUCCAGGCUGGAGUGUAGUGGCGUAAUCUCGGCUCACUGCAACCUCCGCCUCCUGAGUUCAAGCGAUUCUCCUGCCUCAGCCUGCCAGAGUUGCUGGGACUACAGGUGCGCACCACCACACCCAGGAGUUCAAGGCUGCAGUGAGCCAUGAUCGUACCACUGCACUCCAGCCUGGGCAACACAGCGAGACCCUGACUCCACAAAUAAAUAAAUCAACAUCAUAUGAUCUGUACCAGGGUAUAGGCAGGUGCUAUGAUCCCCACUUUUCAUCCUCAACUCUAAGUUGAGUCAUACAUCAACCUCUAGUAAAAAGUGGCAUGCUCUCAGUCAAAGGGGUAAGCCCAAACCACGCGGAGAGAAUCUUAUCUCUUUUGAGAGCUAAUAUAAAAAGAAUUCCUCCUAGGCAUAAAAAUAUUGUGACACCAGUUACUUAGGCUAAACAUGCCUAUUAUGCUAAGUGAGUUAUUAACAAUAAAUACUUUAACUCUGUGCCAUGUUAAUUAUCAUAAUCUGAUUUAUAAUUUGUUUUAACCUUAGGUUAUAUAUACCUUGAAGCCAUUUAUAUUUUGGUAUACUUGUAAUAAUUACUAUACACCGGACUAUGUAUAUUGGACUAAACACGGAGAGUCAAAAAAGAGUAUGUGGUCAGAGUAGAAAUCAUGCCCUAGCUUCCUUCGUGUCUACCUCCUACCUUGAGUAGAAGUGGUAGAAAAAGUAAUUACCUAAGAUUUUUUGGAUUCUGGUUUGUGGAGAAGCACCCUUAUAUUUAGGCUGAUGGGCGGCAAAAUUAGAAAGUAUUUUUUGUGAUUUAGAAUUUUAUACGGAGAUGUUCAUUGUGAUUAAUUAUUCUUUGUAUUAGCAGAUUUUUGCUUUUUAUAGCUGCAUGAUUUCUUGUUUAUUAUUCAUUCAUUAUUGUCUAUUAAUAAAGAAAAACUUUAUUUCACUGAAGCAGUGAUAUAUAAUCCAACUUGGAUUUUUAAAUAAUGACUGACUUUUUUUCUUUGGGAAUACAUUACUGUUAAAAAUGUAAUUAUUAGAUACAUUACUUUUAAUGAAUAUAAGUGGUAUAAUUAGAAGGCUGAAAAGAAUCCUUGGAAAUGUGAGUUUAAUUUGAUAGCUAAGAAACUGAGGACAAGUUACUUAUUCUUUGUAGCAUAUUUUCUAAUGUCAUUUCAUUGUCUCACCAAGAAAUACUUGCAUAAAGCAAGUUCAAUUACAGCAUCUGUUGAAUAUUUAAGGUUGAGUAAAGUGGGUGAGUUUAACAGAUAUUUUCCCUUAUUUCUUUUAGGCGAAUCUGGAUUGGGAAAGUUGAUAUUAAUCAACUCAUUAUUCCUCACAGAUUUGUAUUCUCCAGAGUAUCCAGGUCCUUCUCAGAGAAUUAAAAAGCCUGUACAGGUCUACAUAUUGGUAUUUUUAAUUGAUGAUAAGCUGGAAUAAUAUUAAUACACACAAAGCACGUGUUGUAACUUUCAUUAUGCUUCCCUAGAGGUAAGAUGCAAAUUUGCCCUUAGCCAGUGUAAGAUGGUAAAUAUGACUUCAUAAAAUCAAAAAAACAGAGGAAGUACAGUUAAUCGAAAGAAUUAUCUUGACUAGAACUUUCCAAAUUUGUCCUAAGGAUUCUCCUAGAGAUGACACUGUGACAUAGUAACCAAUUCCCCUGGAGUUGUGCUAUGUAGUAUGAUAGUCAUUUGCCACAUGUUUAAAUCAAUUAAAAUUAAUUAAAUUAAAAUGCAAUUUCUCAUUUGCUCCAGAUACAUUUCAAGUGCUCAACAGCCACAUGUGGCAAGUGGCUGCCAUUUUGUGCAGCACAUAUAUGAAGAUUUUCAUCAUUGUAGAAAAUUGCAUUGGACAGUGUAGAGAAAACAUGAUUCAUAGAAAAACUAUUGUUAUUUAAAUAGUGUUCUAUAUUAGUCAGUGGGAUAAUACCAUAUCAUAGUUGAAUGGCAAUAGCAAUUCUGUAAAACUCCCAUGCUAUAUGUGAUCUAAUUUACUGCUUCUCAGUCUUUGCUACGCAUUCCAAUCCUGGGUAUCCUGUUAAAUUUAUUUCUUCUAGUAGUUCUGAGAUGGGCUGCCUUUCUACAUUUCUAACAAGAUCCCAGGUGAUGCUGAUGCCGCUGGAUGGUAGAUCACACUUUAUAAAGCAAGGGGCUAGACUCUAGAUAUGCACUUUUUAUUAAAUAGUACAGCAGCCUGUAGCCACAUGUGGCUAUUAAUCUUUGAAAUGUGGGUAGUCUGAAUUGUGAUGUUCUGCAAAUAUAAAAUAUGCCACAGAUUUCUAAGACUGAGCAUGGAAAAGAAAAUCUCCGUAAUUUUUUAUAUUGAUUGUAUACUGCAGUGAUAAUAUUUUGGAUGUAUCGGGUUAAAUAAAAUUGACUGAUUUCACCUUUUUCCUAUUUUAAAAGUGGCUACUAAGAAAAUUUUAAAUUACUUACAUGACCGACAUGGUAUUUUUAUUUGGCAGCGCUGCUCUAAGCUGUUGAUGAAAAAUAUUGUUGGUGAGCUCUGCUUAGGUAAUAUGUAGGACACGAGCAGAGAGGAGGCACGUGAACAGUUCUGGCUGAAGUAGGCUUCAUUGAGGCCGUGAUGCUUUUAGCUGGAUUUGAAGAAGUGGUAGUGAGCAUCCCAGUGCACAGGAUAGGAGGACAGUCUAUAUAUUCUGAGCAGUAACUCAUAUAUAUCAUACUGCAAGACCCCAAAGGAGUAAUUUUUUGAAGUAAAUAUCUUAUUUCUCCUUUUUAAUGUUUCUAUUUUGGGAAUUUUUUUUUUUUUAGUAACCUUCAUAGGGCUUGAGAUUUAAAAUUACCUGCAAAAUUCUACUCUAAAAACUUGAUCCUACAUGCUUAUUUAUUUUGUGAUAAAUAUUGGAAAUUUUAAACCUAAGCAAGAAAAUGAACUUUGAACUUUCUUAAUUUGGGUAUCUAUUAUGAAUACCUUCACUUAAGUAUUUAUGAAUUUAGAUAUGAAAGGUAAAACUAACCACUAUCCAAAUUAAUAUACAGUUCAUUUCCAGAACCCUAGUUUCUUCCAUGUGCUCACUCGCAUUCAGUAUUACAACCCCCAAAGAUAAACACCUUACUGACUGCCUUCUCCAUAAAUUUGCCUGUUCUUGAACGUUAUAUACGUAUACUUUUUUGUAUCUGUUUUCUUUCAGUGAAGAUUAUGUCUGUAUUAUUUACUCAUGUUGGGUGUAGUUGUUUUUUUCAUCGUCGUAUAAUACUCCAUUGUGUGAAUGUAUAAAGUAUAUCCUUUAUUAUUUAUUGUAGAUAAGCCUUUGGGUUUUCAGUUUUUUACUAACGGGAACAUUCUUGUGCAUGUCUUAGUAGACUUAGGCACUCAUUGCUGUUGUGUGUGCAUAAAGAUAUAAAGGUAUUUGAGUUUAUUUUAUUUGAUUUCUAGUGAGGUUGAACAUGUCUUGUACUCAAUAACUGUUCAGAUUUCAUUAAAGUCUUUUGGUAAUCUUAAUAUUUUCUGUCAUUUUCUUGCUGAUUUAUAGGAGUUUGAAAAAUCUAAUAAUCCCCUACAUUUUAGAUAUUGCAGACAUUUUCUCCCCAGGUGAGCAUCUGUUAAAGAUGUGACAUGCCCUCAAUUUAUUUUAGAAUUCUUACAUUGGCUUAGCUUCAAAAUAAAUUGCCUAAACCCAUUUUACCUUCCUUUAAAGUAACACUUCAAAAAUAUCCUCUUCUGUUGUGAAUAUCUUCCCGGAAACUCUCUUUAUCUUGAAAACAAAGGGGUAAUGGAGGUACUAGAGAAUAUCUCUAGUAGGAUUUUUAAGACAGGCCUGUGCACCACUGUUAAAUAUCUUUUCUGUACCAAAAAGAAGACCUGUAACAUUUGAGAACCAGAUUGAUCCUUAGUAGAAUCCUGUAGAAGUCCUCUUUCCUGAUUGAACCAUAGAGGUGUAUUCCUUUAUAUACUGAAAACUAGCUGAAGAUAAUCUAAACUCUUGUGCCCAGUUAGGAAAGAACAUGCCAUAUUAUGGACAGGGUCAGAGUCAUUCAAGAAGCCUGAAUAUAGUUAGAAAAUGAGAAUGUAAUCUUUUUAAUAGUUGGCUGGCUCUUUACCAAGCCCAGUAGUCUUGAAGAUAUAGGGGAAAUAGUGUAAACGGUUGUCAAGAUGAAUCUAAAAUGGAAAUUAAUCAGUUCCCUAGAAUAGAUUGAGAAAUUAGCUUUAGGAAAAAGAUAAAUUUCACACACACUGUACCAUGGAAGGUACAGUGCUGAUUCAGACAGACUGGGAAUGGUCUCAUUUUUAAGUGGUGAUGUGAGGUACUUCACUGAGCAUUGUGACAGGCACGGGCUUGGGAAGAGCCUAUUAGGAAAUGGGAGAGGCAUGAGACUAAGGAGCACAUAAGAGUAAUAUUAGCAGAGAAAUUCUUUUUGAGGUUGAAGGUCAUGAAUUUUAUGGUAUAGGAAUAGAAAGAGGGGUUAAUCCAGAAUGGGAUUUGAGUUGGAAAGGGAAAGAAAUAAAGGUUUUGGGAAGGAGGUUGCUAAUAGAAAAUGAGAGGGGCAAGGGAUUUGAGGUCUCAGUAAGGAGACAGGGAUAUGAGGAGUGGAGAGGUUCAGAAUAGAAAGCCAAAUUAGAGUUUUGGGAUCAACUUUCUUCUCAGUAAAGUAGUCCUGGGUCUUCGUGAGAAGGAAGUAUUCUUCAGGCAUAACUGUUCUACUAUUGGUUACUUCCUCUUUCAUUGUCUUGUGGAACACGAUGAAACAUUUAAGAUGAUAUUCAUCUUUUGAGCCAAUAAAUAAGGGAAAUAGAUAGUUUUUGUGUUUGAGCUAAGUGGAGUAUCUCAGGCCAUUCCAAUGUCUUCAGAGUUUUGGCUGUAAUGCUACCUCUUGAGCAAGUGUAGGUAGAGGUAAGCUCUUGACAGAAAAUUUUAACCCUCUCUUCAAAAUGUUAUAUGCUUAAUUAAAUAACUUCUUAAUUUACCUUAAUAAAUGGCGUAUAAACAUUAAGUUAGAAAAGGUUAGUGUAUAUGAAGCUGUAUAAUCAACAUUGUUUGACUUUUUUUCCUCAGAUUGUAAAACUGAAAACUCAGUAUACUAAUACUCUUGUAUACUGUAUACACUCAGUAUUAGAAAAUGAGUACCUUUGAUUUCUGGAAUCUCGGAUGCCAAAAGAGGUCUCAAUAGAUGAAUUAUACAUAGAUGAUUCAUAGACGAUAGUUUUAGUUUUAUUUAUUUUUCAGGGAAAAACAUUUGACAAUGUUCUUGAUUCAUUUUUUUGGUAUUAAAUUAUGCAGCUAAUCUUAGAGAACCCUGAGUGAUGCCAUAAAAGAUGUUGAUGUGGCCUGCUUAAGGAAAGUGCACGGGAAAGUGGCCAUUUGGAAUAGAUUUGUUAAGAAAAGUUUGAAAUUCUUGGACUCGAACUAAUUUGUUUUCCAUGGAUCCCAUGAGGAUACUUGUAAAAGCAGAUGAUAGGGUCCAGUUGGAUCCUGUGAAUGGCACUAGUUUGCAGUUAUGUUUUCUGGAUCUCUUCCAUAUGUCGCUGACUUCUUUGUAUUUGACCAUGUAUGGACAUACAGAAUUUCAUAGGCCAGAGAAGAAAAGAAGCUUUAUAAACAUUCCUUAUGUGUGUAAAAUACAAAUCUUCAUUUGUCUUAGCAAGUCAAUAAGUAAUUAAGUUGUUGAACUGAUUUUUUUUUUAAACAGGGAAAUAUCUUAAAAUUUAAGCUGUUAGGUUAAAAUGUGUGUUUGGUAUACAGCAUAUUACUGAAGGUAGAAUGGGCUUCAUUUGGUAAUAAAGGAACCAGAAAUAUUUUUAAGUAAAAUUGGGAGAUGAUUCAUGUAGAUUAACUAUAUUUUUGUAUCACUUUCUAGAAUACAGUACUAUGUUGUUUAAAAGAGUAAGUAGGUAAAGGAGUGGUAUAAUUACUUUGGAUAUUUCUGCGUCAGCCACAGUUACCAUGAAUAAAUGAUCUGUCUUUAUAAAGGAGAUGGAAGUGAAUUCAAGAUAUUGAGAUGUUAGAUUUGACUGGGUUGUCCUUUGACUAGAAGAUCACCAGAUAAAGAAAAUGUAAACUUCCUAAACCAGAUAAGAUGAUAUUGUUAAAAAAUUUUUUUGGCCCAGCACUUUGGGAGGCUGAAAUGGGAAGAUUGCUUGAACCCAGGAGUUUGAAGCUGCAGUAAGCUAUGAUCUACCAUGCACUCCAGCCUGGGCAACAGAGUGAGACCCUGACUAAAAAAAAAAAUUUUUUUUCCUUUGGUUCUCAUGAUUUCACACUGAUGAAUCUGAUUGUUUUCUCUGAGUCAUUUUGCCUCUCUCAUGUUAUUAGGGUAACCUGAUAAUAGACAUGUUAUCUGAGUUAUGUGGUAUGUAACAGUGAUCUUCUAAAUGAUGUGCAUCCAUCACUGAUACUGAGGAUGAUCAGAAACUAUUACAACUCUUAUUUAUUGAUCUUUACUUUUAAUCUACAGAUAAAUGAUAAUACAUAUUAAUACUUAAUAUUCAGAUUGCCAAUAGUAUAUAUUUGGUGGGUAAAUAUCUUUUGGAUCUGCAAAAUUUUCACUGAUAGUUUGUAUCAGGAUCAAAGCAGUUUGAAGAACAUUAAUCUAAAAGAUAAGACUUUGGCAUCUCAUUUCUCUAAAAGAUAAGUCAUGCAUGUACACACUCAGGCAAUUUUUUUCAGUUUUAUAAGUUUUAUUCUUGAUAAUAAAAUUCUUUUAACAGAAAACUCUUGAUUGCUAUAGACCUCUGCUGUGUAUUCAGUAGUCACUAGCCACAUGUGGCUAUUUAAGUUAAUUCAAAUUAAAUAAAAUUAAAUAUCAGUUCCUUAUUUGCACUAGUCAGAUUUUAAGGAGUAAGUAGCCACAUGGGCAAGUGGCUACCAUAUUGGACAGUGUGGAUACACAACAAUUCCAUCAUCUCAGAAAGUGUUAUUGGAUAGUGUGGCUACAGACUUUUCUUGCUCAGCAAUCUUAGUCUCCGCAUGUUAGUCUCUUCAUGCAUUAGGUAGCAUCUAUAAAACAUGCCAAAAGGAAAUAGGCUAUCUCUAAAAGUGUCCCAAACUUUUUGUCUUGUAAAUUAGCUUAUCAGCAUACUUGGAGCCUCUUGCCUUAAAAAGGACUUGAUAUAAAUGUGUAUCAGGAGAAAGCCUAUCUUAUGAAGGAAUUAUUCCCUUUUUAUUUGAAUCCAUGUUUGCUUUAUCUUCGGCUCCUGAAAACUGAUACUUUGCAUUUAACAGCAGCAUAUGCCCAGGAUGAAUGAUAAUACAUCUCCUGAUACAGAGCUUGAGGUUACAGAAUAUCUUAAAUUGUUCCAGGAACUGUUGUUAUCAUUUAAGUCCAAUAAUCAGUAAGAUUUCACCCUACCAGAAUACACUUUUUUUUAUUAACUGUCUGGACCUUUGCUGAUUACAUUGUCCGGAAUGUGGAGUAUCGCAUUUGAGAAGAGGAUUGGAUCCUAGCCAUAACAUAAAUAUAAGGGUAAUUACAUCCAUGCUGAGAAAGAUUUAGGAAUGAUAGUAAGUUCAUUUGAGUGAGUGGUUUGGGCCAAACUUGAUAGAGAAUAGUCCAGGAAGACAUUUACUAUAAACAGUAGAUUAAAUGUUCUUGCCUGGUUAAUUACAUUUGAACUCUGUUAAUGACUGAAUCACUCAAACUGCUUAAUUGUAUUAUUAGAUGCACAUUUAAGUUAUGUAUUACAUGUCUUUAGUGGUGAUCAGAAUUUUAUCAGUUCCUCUGUCUUUCUUUAUACCAAGUAUGACUCAUAAACCCAGUAUUAAUUUGCCAAGAGAUUGGCAUACUAUUUGUAUAUAUGCUUUUCUUUCAAAUAAUCUGGAUUCCCAAUGCCCACAAUCAUUGAUCCUAAAGAAAAUGUGAGAGUAGGUAGAUAAACUCAAACAUCCCUACCAUCACCCCUGGUAGGAAAUCACUGGUGUAAUGUAUGAUAUUAACAUCUGCACCAAUUACUCUUAUAGGUGGAACAAUCCAAAGUUUUAAUCAGAGAAGGUGGUGUUCAGUUGCUGCUUACAAUAGUUGAUACCCCAGUAUUUGGAGAUGCAGUGGAUAACAGUAAUUGCUGGCAGCCUGCUAUCAAUUACAUUGAUAGUAAAUUUGAGGACUACCUAAAUGCAGAAUCGCAAGUGAACAGAUGUCAGAUGCCUGGUAACAGGGUGCAGUGUUGUUUAUACUUCAUUGCUCCUUCAGGACAUGGCUCUGUUCACGGAAAGGGCCUGGGAGCUGCAACACCUCAACAGCAACGAGCACACCUGCUACCUAGAACUUGGUUUCUAAAAACCAUCCUCCUCUAAAAGGAAACAGAGCUCUUUGAAGAAAUGGUAAUUUCAAAGCUAGAGCACAGAAAGUAUAAGAUGAGCCCAGAAUAUCUUUUUGUACAAGAAAGUAAGGCAAUGCUCAAAGAAUGAUGGAGACAUGCCCAAAAAAAGCAGAGAAGCCAACUUGAAAAGAUUCCAACAGGCCAAAUAUGGGACAAUUUGAACAUCAGAAUAAAAUGGUGACAGUCACAGAAUUAUAACCCAUUGAAGAAAGGAAUUCAUGACAUCAUAUUAAUAUAAAUAAUAAUUGAAUAUUGAAAUUCGUUAAAGGAAAUGAGAUAUUUAUGUAGUCUUAAGGUAUCUUCUCACAAAUUAUGUAUUACUUACAAAGGGGAAAAGUGCACCUUGACAUGAGAAUCUUGGCAGAACCACUUUAAUCAAGAGGUUUAGUUGAGCAUUAUCAGUAACAGAGUAAAUCAAAAUCAUGAGCCACUUGAUAGAUACAAUGAGAAAAUAAAGCAUCACUUCUGUGACACCCUAUAAAAAAUGAAUCUAAUAAUGAGGAAACAUUAGAAAAAAACCAAACUGAGGGAUAUUCUACAAAUAAAUGGUCCUGUAAUCUUCAAAAAUUUCAAGGUUAUAAAAGUCAAGAAAAACAGACAAUCUUUUCCAAACUCAGGGGAACUAAAGAGGCAUGAAAUCUAAAUGCUUAAUUCUGGAUUUCAUCUUUUUGAUAUAAAGAACAGUAUUGAGACUAUUGAUAAAAUUUGAGUGGGGUCUGAAGAUUCAUUGGUAGUAGUAAGCUCAAUUUAAUUUCCUCACUUUGAUCAUUGUACUCUGGUUUUUUAGAAUGUUCUAGUCAACAGGUAAUAUGAAUUAAACUAAUCGAGGGUGACAGGGCAUUAUAUCAGCCACUUAUCAACAAACAUUUCAGAGAAAAAUAGUUCCUUGUAUUGUUAUUGCAAUUUUCUUUGAGAUUGCCCCCUCCAAAACAGUAAGAACUUUCAAAAACAAACAAAUAUAUCAAGCCACAGAUUCAAAGUGCUAUAAACUCCAUGCAUGAUUAGUUCUCACUCAUAGGUGGGAAUUGAACAAUGAGAACACAUGGACACAGGAAGGGGAACAUCACACACCAGGGC
rnacentral:lncRNA from 1 species